AUUGAACGCUGGCGGCGUGCUUAACACAUGCAAGUCGUGCGGUAACAGGCGUAGCAAUACGUGCUGACGAGCGGCGAACGGGUGCGUAAUACAUGGGAAUCUGCCUUUUAGUGGGGAAUAACCCGGCGAAAGCCGGGCUAAUGCCGCAUAAGAUCUUCGGAUGAAAGCGGGGGAUCGUAAGACCUCGCGCUGAUAGAUGAGCCCAUGCCGGAUUAGCAGUUGGUGAGGUAACGGCUCACCAAGGCGACGAUCCGUAGCUGGUCUGAGAGGACGGCCAGG
rnacentral:rRNA from 1 species